rnacentral:rRNA from 1 species
UACGUAGGGUGCAAGCGUUGUCCGGAAUUAUUGGGCGUAAAGAGCUCGUAGGCGGUCUGUCGCGUCGGCUGUGAAAACCCGGAGCUCAACUCCGGGCCUGCACUCGAUACGGGCAGACUGGAGUUCGGCAGGGGAGACUGGAAUUCCUGGUGUAGCGGUGAAAUGCGCAGAUAUCAGGAGGAACACCGGUGGCGAAGGCGGGUCUCUGGGCCGAUACUGACGCUGAGGAGCGAAAGCGUGGGGAGCGAACAGG